AUCACUGCCAAGGGCUGUCAACUGACCGAGAAAAAGAAUACAAAAAAAAACACAACUUUUCGUCCAACUCCCGCAUACCAGCAUCAACAAAUCCUCACCGAUUUUGGUCCGACGGACGGACAUAUUAUCAGGACAAACCAGAAGAAGAUCACCAGCGAUGUUCGGAACAGAAACAGGAGCUGGAGGAGCAAAGGUCGCACUGAAAGGAGCAAGGAGCAAUGUCCCGAACUCUUGGAUACAGCAGUGAUCCGCGGCUAAGCCAGCGUCCCGCCCGUGUUUCCGGAAUAAUACCUUGUUGUGGAGGAACUUUUGUUAUAUAGGUACAUCAUAGAAUUGAAUAAAAUGAACAUUUAUAAAAUUUAAAAA